rnacentral:ncRNA from 1 species
UAAUAAGAGUACUUAAUCUUGGUACAGUUUGAACGUUAUCUGGUAGUUUUACUCAUGCAAGUUAUAUAGCAUACCUAAGGUGUUAUAGCGUACAGGCGAGGAUUAACAAGUAUAGUGCCUUUAAGCCCCUCUUAAAAGGAGGAUACUAAUAAAUGGAGGUUCCCGGCUUAGAGAUCAUCUUGAGUGCCAGCAGGUAAUAGCUGUGCUAACUAAUUAUUAUUUAGUUAUCUAGUACACUAACCUAUGACGGCUAGAAAGGGGUGUUAACCUUACUUUCCGCAACCGGUUUGAGAGUAAUCGGUCAUAUCAAUAGAUAUGCUGCAGAGGAGAAUCUUGGGCAAUGCUCUAUGGAGUGACCCAGCUAACCAGAACCCCAUAUCUAGUAAGGUAGCUUAACUAUUUUUAACUAGAGGUAGGGUACACGUAUGUUAAUAUUGAUAGCAUACAUAACCAGUCUAAUCUAAGUCUCGUGCCAGCAGACGCGGUUAUACGAACUAGGCUAACGUUAAAUGGUUUCAAUAGGUAUUAAGGAUCCGUAGGCGGUAUAUUAUUACUAUAGUCAAAUAGAAGACAAUGGAAUACUGGGAGUAGAGUUGAUAUUCAUUGAUACCCAGUGGACCACUCAUGGCGAAGGCAAUUGUCUAGGUAUGACUGAAGCUGAGGGAUGAAAGUUAAGGUAGCAAAAUGGAUUAGAUACCCAAGUAGUCUUAACUGUAAACUAUUUACACCUAUCUGUUGUCUAUAAAGGUAUACUUUAUUAUUAAUAGACAGCUUGACAGCCAACUGCUGUAUGUGUAACACCUUGUAAGUACAGUCCCAAGACUGAAAGCAAAAAGAUUAGACCAUCCCUAAGACCCGGAGUGGAGCAUGUUGUUUAAUUCGAUAAUCCGCGAAGAACCUUACCUCUCCUUGUAUAAUACAAAAUCAAUAGUUACUACUAUUAGUGUAUUACAGGUAUUGCAUGGCUAUCGUCAGUUCGUGUCGUAAGAUGUUAGGUUGAUUCCGCUAACGAACGUAACCCCGAGUACGUAUUGAUACUAUGUACUGUGAUGCUAAUAAAGCACACCAUAGUUGGGC